rnacentral:rRNA from 1 species
AGAAUCAACGCUGGCGGCGUGCCUAACACAUGCAAGUCGAACGAGAAAGUGGAGCAAUCCAUGAGUAAAGUGGCGCACGGGUGAGUAACACGUGACUAACCUACCCUUGAGUGGGGAAUAACCUAGGGAAACCUGGGCUAAUACCGCAUAACACCUACGGGUCAAAGGAGCAAUUCGCUUAAGGAGGGGGUCGCGGCAGAUUAGCUAGUUGGCGGGGUAAUGGCCCACCAAGGCAGUGAUCUGUAUCCGGCCUGAGAGGGCGCACGGACACACUGGAACUGAAACACGGUCCAGACUCCUACGGGAGGCAGCAGUGGGAAUUUUGCGCAAUGGGGGAAACCCUGACGCAGCAACGCCGCGUGGAGGAUGAAGUCCCUUGGGACGUAAACUCCUUUCGACCGGGAAGAUUAUGACGGUACCGGAAGAAGAAGCCCCGGCUAACUUCGCGCCAGCAGCCGC